AUACGGAGGAUCCGAGCGUUAUCCGGAUUUAUUGGGUUUAAAGGGUGCGCAGGCGGCCAUUUAAGUCAGCGGUUAAAUCGUGGGGCUCAACCCCAUUCUGCCGUUGAUACUGGGUGGCUUGAUUGCGGUCGAGGUUGGCGGAAUUCGUUGUGUAGCGGUGAAAUGCAUAGAUAUGACGAAGAACACCGAUUGCGUAGGCAGCUGACCAGACCGCAAAUGACGCUCAUGCACGAAAGUGCGGGGAUCGAACAGGAUUAGAUACCCUGGUAGUCCGCACAGUAAACGAUGAAUACUUGUUUUCGGCGAUAUAAUGUCGGAGGCAAAGCGAAAGCGAUAAGUAUUCCACCUGGGGAGUACGCCGGCGACGGUGAAACUCAAAUGAAUUGACGGGG
rnacentral:rRNA from 1 species